rnacentral:rRNA from 1 species
UAGUUUGAUCCUGGCUCAGGAUGAACGCUGGCGGCGUGCUUAACACAUGCAAGUCGAGCGAAGCGCUUACGACAGAACCUUCGGGGGAAGAUGUAAGGGACUGAGCGGCGGAUGGGUGAGUAACGCGUGGGUAACCUGCCUCAUACAGGGGGAUAACAGUUAGAAAUGACUGCUAAUACCGCAUAAGACCACAGCACCGCAUGGUGCAGGGGUAAAAACUCCGGUGGUAUGAGAUGGACCCGCGUCUGAUUAGGUAGUUGGUGGGGUAACGGCCUACCAAGCCGACGAUCAGUAGCCGACCUGAGAGGUUGAACGGCCACAUUGGGACUGAGACACGGCCCAGACUCCUACGGGAGGCAGCAGUGGGGGAUAUUGCACAAUGGGGGAAACCCUGAUGCAGCGACGCCGCGUGGAGGAAGAAGGUUUUCGGAUUGUAAACUCCUGUCGUUAGGGACGAUAAUGACGGUACCUAACAAGAAAGCACCGGCUAACUACGUGCCAGCCGCCGCGGUAAUAC